rnacentral:rRNA from 1 species
AGAGUUUGAUCCUGGCUCAGGACGAACGCUGGCGGCGUGCCUAAUACAUGCAAGUAGAACGCUGAGAACUGGUGCUUGCACCGGUUCAAGGAGUUGCGAACGGGUGAGUAACGCGUAGGUAACCUACCUCAUAGCGGGGGAUAACUAUUGGAAACGAUAGCUAAUACCGCAUAAGAGAGACUAACGCAUGUUAGUAAUUUAAAAGGGGCAAUUGCUCCACUAUGAGAUGGACCUGCGUUGUAUUAGCUAGUUGGUGAGGUAAAGGCUCACCAAGGCGACGAUACAUAGCCGACCUGAGAGGGUGAUCGGCCACACUGGGACUGAGACACGGCCCAGACUCCUACGGGAGGCNAGAUGGAAACCUAGGAUUAAUAGAAGCUAAAUAGUUCACAACUAAAACCUACAGGGAUGAUUAUACGUAUUUUAAAAGUGGGAAAAGCUAUUCAUGUUUAGAGGUGACAUGAUGAAAAUGAGAUUAAGUGAUAGAUACGACAGUCAUUAUGCUAACAAAAGUAUCUAUUACAGUUCCUCUUUAAGUAAAUCUUACGUAAAAUUAGUUUGAAAAAAGAUUAGUCCCAAUUCUGGGCUAGAAAUUCUCAAAAAAUAUGAAAAAGCGCGUUUUCAGAAUAUAAAGCGCGUUUUUUUCUUUUUCCAUUUAACAAUAAAAAACUCAUGACGAACAUGGUAUCAUAAGAGAAUUUUUACUUUUUAAAAAAAGGUCAAAGACUUUCUGACACCAAAUAAAAAUAGAAUUUUUUCUAACUAAAAAUAAUAGCACAAUCUUUGGCAGCAAUCUGAAUUGUUUUUCCAUAAAAGAUUUAAGCACUUACGUUUGCUUAAAAUAUAGGUUAUGUGACGUGCGUGCAAGAUCAGAUUAUAACAAAAUAGUUCCAAAUAAGCCUAUCACUGAGAAAGCAUCACAGAAGGGUUAAACUUUUUUUGUAUUAGCGUUUUAUCAGUACAACCUAACACUUAUUUUUAUAAAAAAAUAAAAAAGCUAUUGACAAUCUUAUACAAGAUAACGUAUACUAAUAAAGCUGUUGUAAAUAUGGUAAAGCAAUAGAUGCUAUCAGGAAAAAAUGUGAAAACACUUAUUGAAAAAAGAUGAAAAAGUAGUUGACAGGCUGUGAGAAACCUGAUAGAAUAAAGAAGUUGUCUCUUAGGAGACGUUAAGACCUUUGAGAACUGAAUAAGACGAACCAAACGUGAGGGUGAUAUGGAGACAUAUUACCCGUCAAGAAACGAGAAAUAAAUCUGUCAGCGACAGAAGGAACGAGUAAGUUCAAACGCAAAUUAAAGAGAGUUUGAUCCUGGCUCAGGACGAACGCUGGCGGCGUGCCUAAUACAUGCAAGUAGAACGCUGAGAACUGGUGCUUGCACCGGUUCAAGGAGUUGCGAACGGGUGAGUAACGCGUAGGUAACCUACCUCAUAGCGGGGGAUAACUAUUGGAAACGAUAGCUAAUACCGCAUAAGAGAGACUAACGCAUGUUAGUAAUUUAAAAGGGGCAAUUGCUCCACUAUGAGAUGGACCUGCGUUGUAUUAGCUAGUUGGUGAGGUAAAGGCUCACCAAGGCGACGAUACAUAGCCGACCUGAGAGGGUGAUCGGCCACACUGGGACUGAGACACGGCCCAGACUCCUACGGGAGGCAGCAGUAGGGAAUCUUCGGCAAUGGGGGCAACCCUGACCGAGCAACGCCGCGUGAGUGAAGAAGGUUUUCGGAUCGUAAAGCUCUGUUGUUAGAGAAGAAUGAUGGUGGGAGUGGAAAAUCCACCAAGUGACGGUAACUAACCAGAAAGGGACGGCUAACUACGUGCCAGCAGCCGCGGUAAUACGUAGGUCCCGAGCGUUGUCCGGAUUUAUUGGGCGUAAAGCGAGCGCAGGCGGUUUUUUAAGUCUGAAGUUAAAGGCAUUGGCUCAACCAAUGUACGCUUUGGAAACUGGAGAACUUGAGUGCAGAAGGGGAGAGUGGAAUUCCAUGUGUAGCGGUGAAAUGCGUAGAUAUAUGGAGGAACACCGGUGGCGAAAGCGGCUCUCUGGUCUGUAACUGACGCUGAGGCUCGAAAGCGUGGGGAGCAAACAGGAUUAGAUACCCUGGUAGUCCACGCCGUAAACGAUGAGUGCUAGGUGUUAGGCCCUUUCCGGGGCUUAGUGCCGGAGCUAACGCAUUAAGCACUCCGCCUGGGGAGUACGACCGCAAGGUUGAAACUCAAAGGAAUUGACGGGGGCCCGCACAAGCGGUGGAGCAUGUGGUUUAAUUCGAAGCAACGCGAAGAACCUUACCAGGUCUUGACAUCCCGAUGCCCGCUCUAGAGAUAGAGUUUUACUUCGGUACAUCGGUGACAGGUGGUGCAUGGUUGUCGUCAGCUCGUGUCGUGAGAUGUUGGGUUAAGUCCCGCAACGAGCGCAACCCCUAUUGUUAGUUGCCAUCAUUAAGUUGGGCACUCUAGCGAGACUGCCGGUAAUAAACCGGAGGAAGGUGGGGAUGACGUCAAAUCAUCAUGCCCCUUAUGACCUGGGCUACACACGUGCUACAAUGGUUGGUACAACGAGUCGCAAGCCGGUGACGGCAAGCUAAUCUCUUAAAGCCAAUCUCAGUUCGGAUUGUAGGCUGCAACUCGCCUACAUGAAGUCGGAAUCGCUAGUAAUCGCGGAUCAGCACGCCGCGGUGAAUACGUUCCCGGGCCUUGUACACACCGCCCGUCACACCACGAGAGUUUGUAACACCCGAAGUCGGUGAGGUAACCUAUUAGGAGCCAGCCGCCUAAGGUGGGAUAGAUGAUUGGGGUGAAGUCGUAACAAGGUAGCCGUAUCGGAAGGUGCGGCUGGAUCACCU